UCAUUGCCAAGAGUCUUGAAAGAUCAUCUUACAGUGUUUAGCACACUUUAAGUAAAAGUGUUAAAACGUUGCUCAGAUCAUACUCAAGACUGGGUAGGAGACUGCAUUAAAAUCUUUGUUUGUGUUCAGAUUUUUAGCAUAUUUUUGGAUUAUUUUCCUUGCUCCUUGAUCCAGCAGCUGCAGUAAUAAAUUCCGGAUUGUUUGGCAAAAUCCUUUCAUUCAUCUAAGAGAUACCUGAAGUUAACCAAAUUUGUUCCUUUUCUCAGUUCAGUGCCUUUGCAAACCAUACUUAAAUCAUCAACAAUUAAUAGAUAUGUCCAUAUCCAGUACUCAUUAUUGGGAAUGGGGAACUCAUCGGGAGUCCAGAGACUGAAAUCAUCCUCCCCCUAACCCCAAGGUUUAGGCAACAGAAUCAUGUUUACUCCUUGGAUUAAUAUCACCUGAAGUACUUUAACAACAGGAACAACAACAGAGCACCUGCAAGGACAACACAGAAUUAAAGUGACAAGAAUAUUAGCUUAAGAGGCAUUCUUCAUUUGAUUCAGGAUCAGCAUAUUCCAAAAUGAACUGAGGUAAGGAUGUCUCUUCAACCAAAAAUAAUUCAGAUUAUCAGUUAGGGAAUACUAGAUUCCCCUUCCAGCUCCCAAAUGUCCCACACAUUCACUGCAAGUAUUUCCAUCAAAAGUUUGUAGUCUUCUUAAAUAACUAGAGUUGGAUUUUUUUAGUACAUAGUACUUUUUUAAUGAAGUAACAACAUUUUAAAAUUCAGAAACAAGCUCUCUUUAUUGUAUUUAACACCACAUCCAUCCUUACUGAAAAUGCAAGUACACUCCAAUCAACUGUUUCAGCAUUA
rnacentral:lncRNA from 1 species